GUGCUUGCUUAGGGAGCACAUAUACUAAAAUUGGAAAGAUACGGAGAUUAGCAUGGUCCCUACUCGAGGAUGAUUCACAAAUUUGUAAAGCGUUCCGUAUUUUU